CAAUCAAACCGGGAGAUAGCUGGUUCUCCCCGAAAGCUAUUUAGGUAGCGCCUCGUGAAUUCAUCUCCGGGGGUAGAGCACUGUUUCGGCUAGGGGGCCAUCCCGGCUUACCAACCCGAUGCAAACUGCGAAUACCGGAGAAUGUUAUCACGGGAGACACACGGCGGGUGCUAACGUCCGUCGUGAAGAGGGAAACAACCCAGACCGCCAGCUAAGGUCCCAAAGUCAUGGUUAAGUGGGAAACGAUGUGGGAAGGCCCAGACAGCCAGGAUGUUGGCUUAGAAGCAGCCAUCAUUUAAAGAAAGCGUAAUAGCUCACUGGUCGAGUCGGCCUGCGCGGAAGAUGUAACGGGGCUAAACCAUGCACCGAAGCUGCGGCAGCGAACGUAUCACCCAAGACAACUUUACGGAGUUGACGAUUGACGGAGCGAAGCGACGUCAAAGCGUUCAUUAAAGUCGAGUUGGCUUAGGGAUACGUUCGUUGGGUAGGGGAGCGUUCUGUAAGCCUGUGAAGGUGUGUCGUGAGGCAUGCUGGAGGUAUCAGAAGUGCGAAUGCUGACAUAAGUAACGAUAAAGCGGGUGAAAAGCCCGCUCGCCGGAAGACCAAGGGUUCCUGUCCAACGUUAAUCGGGGCAGGGUGAGUCGACCCCUAAGGCGAGGCCGAAAGGCGUAGUCGAUGGGAAACGGGUUAAUAUUCCCGUACUUGGUGUUACUGCGAAGGGGGGACGGAGAAGGCUAUGUUGGCCGGGCGACGGUUGUCCCGGUUUAAGCGUGUAGGUGUGUGUUCCAGGUAAAUCCGGUUCACUUUAACACUGAGGCGUGACGACGAGGCACUACGGUGCUGAAGCAACAAAUGCCCUGCUUCCAGGAAAAGCCUCUAAGCAUCAGGUAACAUCAAAUCGUACCCCAAACCGACACAGGUGGUCAGGUAGAGAAUACCAAGGCGCUUGAGAGAACUCGGGUGAAGGAACUAGGCAAAAUGGUGCCGUAACUUCGGGAGAAGGCACGCUGACACGUAGGUGAAGUGAUUUACUCAUGGAGCUGAAGUCAGUCGAAGAUACCAGCUGGCUGCAACUGUUUAUUAAAAACACAGCACUGUGCAAACACGAAAGUGGACGUAUACGGUGUGACGCCUGCCCGGUGCCGGAAGGUUAAUUGAUGGGGUCAGCGCAAGCGAAGCUCCUGAUCGAAGCCCCGGUAAACGGCGGCCGUAACUAUAACGGUCCUAAGGUAGCGAAAUUCCUUGUCGGGUAAGUUCCGACCUGCACGAAUGGCGUAAUGAUGGCCAGGCUGUCUCCACCCGAGACUCAGUGAAAUUGAACUCGCUGUGAAGAUGCAGUGUACCCGCGGCAAGACGGAAAGACCCCGUGAACCUUUACUAUAGCUUGACACUGAACAUUGAGCCUUGAUGUGUAGGAUAGGUGGGAGGCUUUGAAGUGUGGACGCCAGUCUGCAUGGAGCCGACCUUGAAAUACCACCCUUUAAUGUUUGAUGUUCUAACGUGGACCCGUAAUCCGGGUUGCGGACAGUGUCUGGUGGGUAGUUUGACUGGGGCGGUCUCCUCCUAAAGAGUAACGGAGGAGCACGAAGGUUGGCUAAUCCUGGUCGGACAUCAGGAGGUUAGUGCAAUGGCAUAAGCCAGCUUGACUGCGAGCGUGACGGCGCGAGCAGGUGCGAAAGCAGGUCAUAGUGAUCCGGUGGUUCUGAAUGGAAGGGCCAUCGCUCAACGGAUAAAAGGUACUCCGGGGAUAACAGGCUGAUACCGCCCAAGAGUUCAUAUCGACGGCGGUGUUUGGCACCUCGAUGUCGGCUCAUCAC
rnacentral:rRNA from 1 species